rnacentral:rRNA from 1 species
AUGAACGCUAGCUACAGGCUUAACACAUGCAAGUCGAGGGGCAGCAUUUUAGUUUGCUUGCAAACUAAAGAUGGCGACCGGCGCACGGGUGAGUAACACGUAUCCAACCUGCCGAUAACUCGGGGAUAGCCUUUCGAAAGAAAGAUUAAUAUCCGAUAGUAUAUUAAAACCGCAUGGUUUUACUAUUAAAGAAUUUCGGUUAUCGAUGGGGAUGCGUUCCAUUAGUUUGUUGGCGGGGUAACGGCCCACCAAGACUACGAUGGAUAGGGGUUCUGAGAGGAAGGUCCCCCACAUUGGAACUGAGACACGGUCCAAACUCCUACGGGAGGCAGCAGUGAGGAAUAUUGGUCAAUGGACGAGAGUCUGAACCAGCCAAGUAGCGUGAAGGAUGACUGCCCUAUGGGUUGUAAACUUCUUUUAUAUGGGAAUAAAGUAUUCCACGUGUGGAAUUUUGUAUGUACCAUAUGAAUAAGGAUCGGCUAACUCCGUGCCAGCAGCCGCGGUAAUACGGAGGAUCCGAGCGUUAUCCGGAUUUAUUGGGUUUAAAGGGAGCGUAGGUGGAUUGUUAAGUCAGUUGUGAAAGUUUGCGGCUCAACCGUAAAAUUGCAGUUGAAACUGGCAGUCUUGAGUACAGUAGAGGUGGGCGGAAUUCGUGGUGUAGCGGUGAAAUGCUUAGAUAUCACGAAGAACUCCGAUUGCGAAGGCAGCUCACUAGACUGCAACUGACACUGAUGCUCGAAAGUGUGGGUAUCAAACAGGAUUAGAUACCCUGGUAGUCCACACAGUAAACGAUGAAUACUCGCUGUUUGCGAUAUACAGUAAGCGGCCAAGCGAAAGCAUUAAGUAUUCCACCUGGGGAGUACGCCGGCAACGGUGAAACUCAAAGGAAUUGACGGGGGCCCGCACAAGCGGAGGAACAUGUGGUUUAGUUCGAUGAUACGCGAGGAACCUUACCCGGGCUUAAAUUGCAUUUGAAUAAUCUGGAAACAGGUUAGCCGCAAGGCAAAUGUGAAGGUGCUGCAUGGUUGUCGUCAGCUCGUGCCGUGAGGUGUCGGCUUAAGUGCCAUAACGAGCGCAACCCUUAUCUUUAGUUACUAACAGGUCAUGCUGAGGACUCUAGAGAGACUGCCGUCGUAAGAUGUGAGGAAGGUGGGGAUGACGUCAAAUCAGCACGGCCCUUACGUCCGGGGCUACACACGUGUUACAAUGGGGGGUACAGAAGGCAGCUACCUGGCGACAGGAUGCUAAUCCCAAAAACCUCUCUCAGUUCGGAUCGAAGUCUGCAACCCGACUUCGUGAAGCUGGAUUCGCUAGUAAUCGCGCAUCAGCCAUGGCGCGGUGAAUACGUUCCCGGGCCUUGUACACACCGCCCGUCAAGCCAUGAAAGCCGGGGGUACCUGAAGUACGUAACCGCAAGGAGCGUCCUAGGGUAAAACUGGUAAUUGGGGCU